CCUACGGGUGGCAGCAGUGGGGAAUAUUGCACAAUGGGGGGAACCCUGAUGCAGCGACGCCGCGUGAGUGAUGAAGGAUUUCGGUAUGUAAAGCUCUUUCAGUAGGGAAGAAAAUGACGGUACCUGACUAAGAAGCCCCGGCUAACUACGUGCCAGCAGCCGCGGUAAUACGUAGGGGGCAAGCGUUAUCCGGAUUUACUGGGUGUAAAGGGAGCGCAGACGGGUGUGCAAGUCUGGAGUGAAAGGCGGGGGCUCAACCCCCGGACUGCUUUGGAAACUGUAAAGCUGGAGUGCAGGAGAGGUAAGCGGAAUUCCUAGUGUAGCGGUGAAAUGCGUAGAGAUUAGGAGGAACACCAGUGGCGAAGGCGGCUUACUGGACCGCAACUGACGUUGAGGCGCGAAAGCGUGGGGAGCAAACAGGAUUAGAUACCCCGGUAGUC
rnacentral:rRNA from 1 species